GUAGCGGCGAGUGAAGAAGUAAAAGCCCAAGAUGAAAAUCUAUAAUAAUGUUAUAGAAUUGUAAUCUAUGGAUGUAGUCAGAAAUCGAAGGCCUGUCAUAAGUUCUUUGGAACAAGACACCAUAGAGGGUGAAAGUCCCGUCUUUGGAUAGGCUGGAGAAAUAUGAAUACUUUCCAAGAGUCGGGUAGUUUGGGAAUGCUGCCCUAAUUGGGAGAUAUACUUCUCCUAAGGCUAAAUAUUUAUAGGAGACCGAUAGCAUACAAGUACUGCGAAGGAAAGAUGAAAAGAACUUUGAAAAGAGGGUUAAAAGACUUGAAAUCGUUGAAAAGGAAGCAGUAAAAGAGAAAUGAAUCGUCGAGAAAAUACUGAACAUCAUAAGUUCUACAGUGUAGAGUAUCUAACAGAGCUCUUGCUGCAGAAUGAAAGAUGGAUCAGAUCUUUCUAAGCGAUAGGCAAAAUGAGAUCCAUUUACAAGAAUAAGGCAGAAGUUUAUUCGACUGCUUGAAGUUGUAAAUUGGUCUGAGGGAUUAGAUAAUGAUUUUGCCAAAAUGGCUUUUACUGACCCGUCUCGAAACACGGACUAAGGAGUCUACCCAUUAUGCAAGUGUUAAGGUGGAAAAACCUAAACGCAUACCGAAAGGGAUGUAAGAUGUGAGGCGAAAGCUACAACAUCAACCAAUCUUGAUUCUCUGAUGAAGGACUUGAGUAAGAGCAUAAUUGGUAGGACCCGAAAGAUGGUGAACUACGGUUGAGUAGGGUGAAGCCAGGGGAAACUCUGGUGGAGGCUCGAAGCGAUACUGACGUGCAAAUCGUUCGUCAAACUUGACUGUAGGGGCGAAAGACUAAUCGAACUAUCUAGUAGCUGGUUCCCUCUGAAAUUUCUCUCAGGAUAGCAGGAACAGAUAUGCAGUUUUAUCAGGUAAAGCUAAUGAUUAGAGGACUCGGGGUUCCGCGAGCCUUGACCUAUUCUCAAACUUUAAAUUGGUAAGAACCGUAGAGUUAUCUUAAUUGAACUCUUGGGCCGAAUGCAUUGUUCUUAGUGGGCCAUUUUUGGUAAGCAGAACUGGCGAUGAGGGAUGAACCUAACGUUGAGAUAAGGUGCCCAAAUUCACGCUCAUGAGAUCCCAUAAAAGGUGUUGGUUAGUAUAAACAGCCGGACUGUGGCCAUGGAAGUCGGCACCAGCUAAGGAGUGUGUAACAACUCACCAGCCGAAUUAACCAGCCCUGAAAAUUGAUGGCGCUAAGCGUGAUACCGAUACUCAACCAUUAUAGUAAAUAGAAACUGUAAUGAGUAAGAGGGCGUGAAUACUGUGUCGAAGGUUUGGAUGUGAAUCUGACUGGAACAGUAUUUAGUGCAGAUCUUGGUGGUAGUAGCAAAUAUUCAAAUGAGAACUUUGAAGACCGAAGUGGAGAAGGGUUCCAUGAGAACAGCAUUUGAUCAUGGGUUACUCGAUCCUAAGACAUAGGGAAAUUCCUUGUAAUAUAUGCAUACUUACGUUAGCAUUGUCAAAAGGGAAUGAGGUUGAUAUUCCUCAAGCUGGAUGUGGAGGCUAUGUGGCAACACAAACAAGCUCGGAGACAUCGGUAUGUACAACUGGAAGAGUUUUCUUUUCUUCUUAACAAUUUAUCUCCCUGAAUGGAUUAACCAGAGCUAGGGAUAUAUAAUUGGCAGAGCAGUUCACCAUCGAAUUGUCAGUGAUGUUCAUAACGAUCCUUGAAAAUCCGAGUACGAUUAUCCUUUCACUCCAGGUCGUACCCAUAACCGC
rnacentral:rRNA from 1 species